CUAGAGUAAUGGCAUUUUGGUAAAUCUAUCCGAUACUAUCCAGAGUUCUUUUUUUUUUUUUUUUUUUUUUUUUUGCUUUCUCUCUUAUCUGUAUACUAUGAAUUCUCUCUCUAGCGAUUAUUUUUCCUUCGAUCUUCGCUCCGUAUUCUUUGAUUUGUGUUGAUGCAGUGCUUGGGAAGGCACGACUAGAGCUUAUGGACUGAUAUUCAAGGAUUCAGUCAGAAUUGUGCAAAGAGCAUUUCUAAGACCAAGGGUCAAGAAUGAGUUAUUUACAGGCUGCCUUGGGCGUUGUGCAAAUGGUGUGGCUAUAUAUGCUCAAGGAGCACGGGGCAAAGGGUGUGGUGCUGUGUGUCGGUUGUUGUUGUACUGUUUGGGUGGGCGAAGGAGCUUGGUGGGUGAUGUGUAUUCAAUGCUAGAAACAAAUGGAAAGAGGCUAGCUUUCAGAUUUUGGACUUCACUGUAAUGUGUACACUGUACUUACAAUAAUAAAAUGGGGCAUAGAUUUUUUUUUUUAUUUACUUUUGAGUAAUUUUUUAUUACUAUACAUUAGCCUACUAGUUCGAAAGGUAAAGCAUUGUGCAAUUGCACAAAAGAUGUGGCUUAGAAUCCCACGUAGGUUUAUAUGUGUAAUUCAGAGACUAAGCUUUAUAGUUAAGUUUAGUUAUGUGAUUAAUUAGAUUUCUAUUGUUUUUGUUUACUUUUGAUAUUAUUUUAUUUGUUUAUAACUUGAAAUCCUUUACAUUGAACUCUAUAUUUUUUUCUUAUAACUUUUACUCACUUUGUUAGGAUAUAAAAGUCAAUUACUCAGAGAUUUUUUGUGCUACAAUAAAGUUUGCAUAUUGAUUAG